AGCCCCAUAGUCUAGUGGUCAAGGAUAUCGGGCUCUGAACCCGGUGACGCCAGUUCGAAUCUGGCUGGGGCUA
rnacentral:tRNA from 1 species